rnacentral:rRNA from 1 species
UCGAGGAUCUUCGGCAAUGGGCGCAAGCCUGACCGAGCGACGCCGCGUGUGCGAUGAAGGCCUUCGGGUUGUAAAGCACUGUCGAGGGGGAGGAAAGCCCGCAAGGGCCUGACCUAUCCCUGGAGGAAGCACGGGCUAAGUUCGUGCCAGCAGCCGCGGUAAGACGAACCGUGCGAACGUUGUUCGGAAUCACUGGGCUUAAAGGGCGCGUAGGCGGGCCCUCCAGUCAGGGUGAAAUCUUCCGGCUCAACCGGAAAAGUGCCCCUGAUACUGAGGGUCUCGAGGGGUGUAGGGGCAUGUGGAACUUCCGGUGGAGCGGUGAAAUGCGUAGAUAUCGGAAGGAACGCCGGUGGCGAAAGCGACGUGCUGGACACCUUCUGACGCUGAGGCGCGAAAGCCAGGGGAGCAAACGGGAUUAGAUACCCCGGUAGUCCUGGCCCUAAACGAUGGGUACUAGAUUGUGGACCGGACAUGGGUUCACAGUCGAAGCAAAAAGUGAUAAGUACCCCGCCUGGGGAGUAUGG